AUUUUCUGUAUCGAUUCCUCUGUUGAAGGGCAUCUGGGUUCUUUCCAGCUUCUGGUUAUUAUAAAUAAGGCUGCGAUGAACAUAGUGGGAGCACGUGUCUUUUUUUAUAUGUUGGGGCAUCUUGUGGGUAUAUGCCCAAGAGAGGUAUAGCUGGACCCUCACGUAGUUCAAUGUCCAAUUUUCUGAGGAACCUCCAGACUGAUUUCCAGAAUGGUUUUACCAGUUUGCAAUCCCACCAACAAUGGAGGAGUGUUCCUCAUUCUCCACAUCCUCGCCAGCAUUUGUUGUCACCUGAGUUUUUGAUCUUAGCCAUUCUCACUGGUGUGAGGUGAAAUCUCAGGGUUGUUUUGAUUUGCAUUUCCCUUAUGACUAAAGAUGUUGUACAUUUCUUUAGGUGUUUCUCAGCCAUUCGGCAUUCCUCAGCUGUGAAUUCUUUGUUUAGUUCUGAACCGCAUUUUUUAAUAGGGUUAUUUGUCUCCCUGCGGUCUAACUUCUUGAGUUCUUUGUAUAUUUUGGAUAUUAGCCCUCUAUCAGUUGUAGGAUU
rnacentral:lncRNA from 1 species